AUUGUCGUCAUGAGAAAGAAAAGCUCAGUGCAAUUGAUCACUUCUCGUGUCCUGCAUGUAUCCCAAAUGCUGUUGCAGUGUCUGCAGAUGGAAACCGCAAACUAUAUCGGUUUAACAAAGCCAGAGAAGUCGAAGAACAGCCUUUUUUUAAUGGUGUUUUCAUUGCCAAGGAUGAGGAUGUGACCAAUUUUGUCAAUUUUGUUCAACAAAAGACCAGCUCAGUACAAGGAAAAGGCACAUGUGGAAAAUCCACUUGGGCUGCUGCCAGAGAGACUUCAAGGAAGUCUAGUGGUAAAUUGGAUGAGGAGGGGUUGGAAGUGGCAGUGUGCAGACA